AGAGUUUGAUCCUGGCUCAGAACGAACGCUGGCGGCAGGCCUAACACAUGCAAGUCGAACGAUGCCUUCGGGCAUAGUGGCGCACGGGUGAGUAACACGUGGGAACAUACCUUUUGGUGGGGGAUAACUUCGGGAAACUGAAGCUAAUACCGCAUACGCCCCUUGGGGAAAGAUUUAUCGCCGAAAGAUUGGCCCGCGUCCGAUUAGCUAGUUGGUGAGGUAAUGGCUCACCAAGGCUCCGAUCGGUAGCUGGUCUGAGAGGAUGACCAGCCACACUGGGACUGAGACACGGCCCAGACUCCUACGGGAGGCAGCAGUGGGGAAUAUUGGACAAUGGGCGAAAGCCUGAUCCAGCCAUGCCGCGUGUGUGAAGAAGGUCUUCGGAUUGUAAAGCACUUUAAGUUGGGAGGAAGGGCAGUUACCUAAUACGUAUCUGUUUGACG
rnacentral:rRNA from 1 species